AACGACGAACGCUGGCGGCGUGCUUAACACAUGCAAGUCGAACGGUGACGAGGAGCUUGCUCCUCUGAUCAGUGGCGAACGGGUGAGUAACACGUGAGCAACCUGCCCCAGACUCUGGGAUAACAGUUGGAAACAGCUGCUAAUACCGGAUACGAGACGGAGAGGCAUCUCUACCGUCUGGAAAGUUUUUCGGUCUGGGAUGGACUCGCGGCCUAUCAGCUAGUUGGUGAGGUAAUGGCUCACCAAGGCGACGACGGGUAGCCGGCCUGAGAGGGCGACCGGCCACACUGGGACUGAGACACGGCCCAGACUCCUACGGGAGGCAGCAGUGGGGAAUAUUGCACAAUGGGCGAAAGCCUGAUGCAGCGACGCCGCGUGAGGGAUGAAGGCCUUCGGGUUGUAAACCUCUUUCAGCAGGGAAGAAGCGAAAGUGACGGUACCUGCAGAAGAAGCACCGGCUAACUACGUGCCAGCAGCCGCGGUAAUACGUAGGGUGCGAGCGUUGUCCGGAAUUAUUGGGCGUAAAGAGCUUGUAGGCGGUAUUGCUCGCGUCUGCAGUGAAAAUCCGGGGCUCAACCCCGGACUUGCUGUGGGUACGGGCAGACUAGAGUAUGGUAGGGAGACCGGAAUUCCUGGUGUAGCGGUGGAAUGCGCAGAUAUCAGGAGGAACACCGAUGGCGAAGGCAGGUCUCUGGGCCAUAACUGACGCUGAGAAGCGAAAGCAUGGGGAGCGAACAGGAUUAGAUACCCUGGUAGUCCAUGCCGUAAACGUUGGGCGCUAGGUGUGGGACUCAUUCCACGAGUUCCGUGCCGCAGCUAACGCAUUAAGCGCCCCGCCUGGGGAGUACGGCCGCAAGGCUAAAACUCAAAGGAAUUGACGGGGGCCCGCACAAGCGGCGGAGCAUGCGGAUUAAUUCGAUGCAACGCGAAGAACCUUACCAAGGCUUGACAUAUACCGGAAACAUCCAGAGAUGGGUGCCC
rnacentral:rRNA from 1 species